UGGGGAAUAUUGGACAAUGGGCGAAAGCCUGAUCCAGCCAUGCCGCGUGUGUGAAGAAGGUCUUCGGAUUGUAAAGCACUUUAAGUUGGGAGGAAGGGCAGUAAGCGAAUACCUUGCUGUUUUGACGUUACCGACAGAAUAAGCACCGGCUAACUCUGUGCCAGCAGCCGCGGUAAUACAGAGGGUGCAAGCGUUAAUCGGAAUUGCUGGGCGUAAAGCGCGCGUAGGUGGUUCGUUAAGUUGAAUGUGAAAGCCCCGGGCUCAACCUGGGAACUGCAUCCAAAACUGGCGAGCUAGAGUAGGGCAGAGGGUGGUGGAAUUUCCUGUGUAGCGGUGAAAUGCGUAGAUAUAGGAAGGAACACCAGUGGCGAAGGCGACCACCUGGGCUCAUACUGACACUGAGGUGCGAAAGCGUGGGGAGCAAACAGG
rnacentral:rRNA from 1 species